GACGAACGCUGGCGGCGUGCUUAACACAUGCAAGUCGAGGGGCCUCAGCAAUGGGGGCACCGGCGAACGGGUGCGUAACACGUGAGUGACCGACCCUACCUGCGGGGGAUAGCCGGCCCAACGGCCGGGUAAUACCGCGUACGCUUUUUUCGCGCAUGGCGGGAAAAGGAAACCCUUCGGGGGCGGAGGACGGGCUCGCGGCCUAUCAGCUAGUUGGCGAGGUAACGGCUCACCAAGGCGACGACGGGUAGCUGGUCGAGAGGAUGGCCAGCCACAUUGGGACUGAGAUACGGCCCAGACUCCUACGGGAGGCAGCAGUGGGGAAUAUUGCGCAAUGGCCGAAAGGCUGACGCAGCGACGCCGCGUGUGGGAUGACGCCUCGGUGGUAACGACUA
rnacentral:rRNA from 1 species